UUAGGAAAUGGAGUGAUAGAAGCCAUUACCAGCAAUGGCAUACCGGAAGAUUAUAGAAGAAUUCUAGAAGAAUCUAAAAACAAACCAAAGCCCAUUGCUCUACCAAGGUCAGUCCCAACCAAACAGGAAGCAGAAGUAGAGGAAGUUCUCUGGGUGGGUCUGAAGUGACAGUGAGAAAGGAGCCGGUCAAUAGAGAAGAGACUGACUCAGAAGGAAGCCCUGGUUCCCAGGGAAGACUUAGUCGAUUCCUCCUCUAUUGCUUUUCAAACAUUUGCUGGGUUUUUAUUUUUGUUUUUCUUAUUGAGCAAAUUAGUACAUACUCAUUGCCAAUUAGUUUAGCAAUAGAGAUGAAUAGAAGAAGCACAAUUAUUGCUUCUCUGGAGACUCCCUGAACACCUGGGGAAGUGGACAUUCUUCAGAUCAUCAGCGCCUUUUGCCUGGGAAAAGAUGCUGUGUGUGUGGAAAGGCACAGCUGAGAAUGCGGCACUGCAGGGAGGCCAUUUCUACUGGACCCAGAGAGUCCAGUGUCCUGGGCAAGUGCACAGUGCGACACCAGGAUGGCUCUCUCGUCUUCAUAACAACAGAGUUGCCCCAUGUUCUCCAGAAGCAAGAGGGGAAAUUUAUGGAUCAAAAUCCCUUUUCUCUUACCCUAAAGUGAAAAUGUCAGGUGUUGGGCACUCACUUGUGAGUUCCGAGCUGUCCUCACGUGAUGGGACUAAGGACACUUAGAGGACUGGAAGGCCUUAGCUCAGAGAGAACUCAGAAAGUUCCACUGUUCUACAAGGGAAGGUGUGGGGGGUAUUUCUUUCAUCUUGUAGCCAUUAUAUAUAUCCACUGUUGCCCUUUCAUCAACAAACACCAUAAUUAUAAAUAUAAUGCCUUUUGCUUGUCUUUUUAAAAUUGGCAUAUCAAGGAAUGGGUGUAAUUACUAUACUUUUGUAAUACUUUGUAUUUGAUAUUUCUUCCCAACCCCCCCCCAGCUCCAGCCUCUUCUUCUCUUCCCAGGGCCCACCACCACCACCCAUCUCUCCUUUGCUUUUAACAUGAUGGUUUUUAAGAACAUAAAUAAUUUUGCAUUGAAAUAUUUCUGAUUUUUCAAUGUUAUACAGUUUACUCUAGGCAGUAAUAUUAAUAAAUAUGUUACUGAUGUUUUGUCAACAUGUAAAUCAUCAUUACAUGUGUAAAUAAAUCCAUAUAUAAUGUAAUAUAUAUGCCAUUUUUGAGUGAAAUUUUUAUCAAAUAAAUUAACUUUGUUUUGGGCCAUUGACAAGCUGCUCUCCUCAGCUUUCAGCUGAGGAAACACCAACUAAUAAUUGCCUAUUCACAAAGAACAACAGUUCUUUAUAUAAGGUUUUGUAUUUGCAGCCUUUCAGGCAACGUUCACUGCACUAUUCAUAGCUGUCUGUACAAAGUGGUCAUGAGAGAAUGGUAUUCGAGUUUGUUUAAUCAGUUCCCUUCAGAAUUCAGUAAUAAGCUUGAAGCUCAACUCUAAAACGCUACUUUAUUAUUUAUGUAGAGUGGUCUUUUUUUCAUUUAAGGUAUAUAUGUUGAUUCAACUAAACUUUUUGUUCAAGAGUACAACCUAAAUAAAAGACACAGGAUCAAAGCACACUGAUAAAGUCUCUACCAAGUUCUCAAUCCAAAGAGAUUAAGAACUAGAUCUGUCAGAGGUUGGAGAGGUAGAUGGCUCUGACGUAGAGUACUGGGUUCAAUUUCCAGUCCCCAUGCCCUCUGUAACUCCUAUUCCAGGGGAUCCUCUUCUGACCUCUUCAGCACCACGGGCACACAUGUCAAACAGACAUAUAUCCAGGUAAAACAUCCACACAAUAAAAACAUUUAAAGGAUAUAGAUCUGUCAAAACUCAUGAUGGAUGUGGAACUGAUGAAGGAGUCUUUUGAAAAAGGUCAGUUAUAACUCUAGUUGUAAUCAACCCUCAAAGGCUUGGAGGAGAAGAGGGGACGCAGAGCCCUCAGAACGAAUAACUGAAUCAAGACAUACGUCCUCUGCUCCCACGAAUUUCCCACGCCCCGAUGAGGCAAUAAUCAGAGACAUUCAGAUAGCCUAUGAAUGCAGCAACAUAGUGAUGAAGCAAAACAGGAUGAAGCAAACAGUGACCACUAAAGUUGUACAAGAGAAGUCACUAGAACAUUCUUCUCGCCCUUCAGGAUCUAAAGUUCGCUGAAGCCACUAAGGCACCCACCACAUGUUCCAUGCAGCUCUUCCUCCACCGAUGCCCAACAGGGUCAAUACUAAGAAAAUACCCUCCCUCCUCCGUGCCUUCCCUCAGCCCUCUCUUCUGAGGACAGGAGUCAAACUUCCUGAUAACUUCCUGAUAUGUUCUUCUCUUGUCUUCAAUGGAGUCAGUGUAGUCAUGACUAAGAAUUUCUACCAUCUCCUGAGAAAGGGAAGAAAAACUCCACAAGCAUCUCAAUGCCUCUGGGUACAACUUGAUUCAGGCCUGCCUGCAUGUGCCUGCCAUGGGAGCCAUUCACUGUGCCAAGUUCUUAAAUAUUGAGCAAGUCUUGAAAGAAAUCCCAGUCGGGCCUACUCAAACUUCCAGCGAGAAGAACGGGGAGACGGAUUUAAAACAAAAGCAAACAAAACAACAACCCCCGAAUAAAAGCAGUGCUACAUUUUACACCGUGGUAAAUAAUGUGUCUGAAAGGUUGAGAAUCAAAUAUAUAAUGAAGAUAAUCAUUAAUCUCAGCCAAAAUAGAGGCUGUGUUCCAGGGAAGACAAAGUCAAUAGGGAAAAGAAAGAAGAAGGAAUAUUCCAGACAAAAGGAAGAGUACACGUCAGCUCUAUGGCACAUUCAGUGAAUGGAAAGGGAAGCUAAAUCGGCUUGGUUGGGUAUUGAGACACAUCUAAGGAUUCUGGCUAAGAAGUCAUCAGCUCAGCACCCUGCCCUAUUCCCAGGUGGCUUUCACAAGCCUGGAGUGAAUAGCCUUAACGUGGUCCAGCUUUCGCUCUUCCAAGAAUCCUGGGAGGCUUUACUGCAGAAGCUGCAGGACCACAGCCAGUCAGGAUUCUGAGUACACAGUGUACCUUGUACUGACCCAGCAUGCCGUGUGCAGCUUCAGAGGCUACCGUGUGAGAGCAGCAAGGGUCCUAGCAACAGGCUGUGAAUGGAACACAGUCUCCUUCUACUGCCUGAGGAUCAAGAUGUAGAAUUAUUGGCUCCUCCAACACGAUGUCUGCCUGGCAGCUGCCAUGCUCCUGCUCUGAUGAUAAUGGACUGAACCUCUGAAAAUAUAAGCCAGCUGAAAUUAAAUGUUUUCUUUUCUAAGACUUGCUGUGGUCACUUCACAGCAAUAGAACCCUAGCUAAGACAGGACCUAUGUACCCAACGCAGAGAACAUGUAGUCUCAGUGAUUACUUUCACACUGUAAGACAUUCGAUCUCAUUCCAAAGCAUUCAUUACAUCACUGUUCAUUUAACAUAAAAUGGAGACCUGAGAAUGUGAUGAAUACUUAUCAAAUCCCAACCGCUUCUUUUUCAAAUGGACUUUCAGAGUCUUAAAUUCAUAUGGAAAUACAGAAGACUCCAGAUAGCAUCACUUUGAAAAUCAAAAGUCCUGAGAAGAAGAACGAAAAUUGAGUACUCCGAUUUUCUGGUUUUAAAGGCACUGAAAAACAAUAGUGAUGGAGAAGCUUGUGGUCCCAGCCUAGGAUGCGGAUAUAAAACAACAGAACUGAGAGGCUAGAAGUGAACCUCGGGGCUGGGGAUUUAGCUCAGUGGUAGAGCGCUUACCUAGGAAGCGCAAGGCCCUGGGUUCGGUCCCCAGCUCCGAAAAAAAGAACCAAAAAAAAAAAAAAAAAAAAAAAAAAAAGAAGUGAACC